GAUGAACGCUGGCGGCGUGCCUAAUACAUGCAAGUCGAGCGAACGGACGAGAAGCUUGCUUCUCUGAUGUUAGCGGCGGACGGGUGAGUAACACGUGGAUAACCUACCUAUAAGACUGGGAUAACUUCGGGAAACCGGAGCUAAUACCGGAUAAUAUUUUGAACCGCAUGUUUCAAAAGUGAAAGACGGUCUUGCUGUCACUUAUAGAUGGAUCCGCGCUGCAUUAGCUAGUCGGUAAGGUAACGGCUUACCAAGGCAACGAUGCAUAGCCGACCUGAGAGGGUGAUCGGCCACACUGGAACUGAGACACGGUCCAGACUCCUACGGGAGGAAGAAGUAGGGAAUCUUCCGCAAUGGGCGAAAGCCUGACGGAGCAACGCGGCGUGAGUGAUGAAGGUCUUCGGAUCGUAAGACUCUGUUAUUAGGGAAGAACAUAUGUGUAAGUAACUGUGCACAUCUUGACGGUACCUAAUCAGAAAGCCACGGCUAACUACGUG
rnacentral:rRNA from 1 species